AGUCAAUAAUCAGGUGAGUGGGAGAGAUAUAAUAUCCAGACUGGAUUCAGGUGUGUAGCUGUGGUGGCUCCUGGAUUGAUGAUAGAUUUGGAUGCUGGAUGUAGUAUAUCCAGGUAUUUAUUUAAUAAAUAUUUGCAUAGACUCUGUAAUGACAAAAAAUAAAGAAUGCUAAAAACAAAAAAACAUCAGAAGUGUUUCAUCGCUUAACCAUGGCACCAUCUUGGGAAGCUAACAACAUGUGUUGAAAGGAAGUAAAAAAGACUGGAGAAUCACAAAAGUCAUGCUCCUCUGAGCUCCUUGCACAUAAUAACUGUGACAGACACUUCAGCGGGAUGGUGGACACUGUAUGGGAAAGUGAAGAGAACACACUCGACAGUGAGAAGUUCUCACUGGGAUUCAGUCUCAACUCUUCUUUCAGGGACACAGCUCAUUAACAGCUCAUUAAAAAUAUCUACCACUAAGUCCUUCAACGACCAAUCAGGUUUAGGAGGUGACAUGCUUAGGAGGUGCCUGCUGAUGUUUUUGUAAAAUUAAUAAGAUUCUAAUAUAGUGCAGAUGUCUAAAUGGUUCAGCUGCAAAUAAGCAUAUAUAACUGUGAUACAGUUGGGGUCAUAAGUUUACAUAUGCCUUGCAGAUUCUGAAAAAUGUUACUAAUUAAAAAAAAAAAAGAAGGAUAAUAAAAUUUGCAUUUUGUUUUUUUUUUUUUAUUUAGUACUUCCCUGAAUAAGCUAUUUCACAUAAAUACAAAUUUACACGAAUGAACCAGUUGAAAAGUUUACAUAUGCUUGAUUCGUAAUAGUGUAUGUUGUUACCUGGAUGAUCAACGACUGUUUUUAUGUUUUGUGAUAGUUGUUCAUGAGUCCCUUGUUUGUGCAGAGCAGUUAAACUGCCCACUCUUCUUCAGAAAAAUCCUCCAGUUCCCGCACAUUAUUUGCUUUUCCAGCAUCUUCUGCAAAUUUGACCCCUUUCCAACAGUGGCUAUAUGAUGUUGAGAUCCAUCUUUUCACAAUGAGGACAACUGAGGGACUCGCACACAACUAUUACAAAAGGUUCAAACAUUCAUUGAUUCUCAAGAAGGCAAUGGGAUGAUAGGUAUAAAUUGUUACUAUUUUGUUAUUAUUCUGGGACACAUUUAAAUAUCUUAUGUAGUUUCUGAAGGGUAGUACUAAAUGAAAAACAAAAUUGAUGUAAAUUUGUGUAAAUUCAUUUAUUAUUGUGUCUUGUGGACUAUAUGUAAACAUCUGUUAUGUGAAAUAACUUAUUCAUGGCCGUACUAACUAAAAAACAAAAUGCAAUUUUUAUGAUCCCCUCUAUUUAUUUAGUAAACUUAUGACCCCAGCUGUAAAUAAAGAUACUUUACUAAGCCUAAUACAGAUGUAAUCAUGUCACCACAGACACAGACAUGUGAUGGACACUACUGACCAUGCAGAGCCCUGUCCUACGACUGCUAAUUCUACUUCCAAUACAAACACUUAUAAAGUUUUUACAUUACUGUUAAAAAUUCACAUCAAUUCAUCAGUAUUCUACAUCUCUGCAUGAUGUUAACUCCAGUUUCCAUCUCAUCGAUUUUAAAUAGUUUGGCAAUGCGAUUUACUCUAAAUGUACUGAUGGGUAAAUUGUAUGUCACUCCCCAAUAUGCACAUUAUUACCCGCAUGUACCAAAGUUGUCAGGUUGAAAUAAAAGAAUGAGUCAAAACUUUUC